AGCAGCCGCGGUAAUUCCAGCUCCAAUAGCGUAUAUUAAAGUUGUUGCAGUUAAAAAGCUCGUAGUUGAAUUUCGGGAUUAGUACGCUGGUCAUGCCUUUGGUAUGUACUGGUGUUACUGGUUCCUACCUUCUGAAGAACCGUCAUGUCAUUAGUUUGGUGUGGCGGGGAAUCAGGACUGUUACUUUGAAAAAAUUAGAGUGUUUAAAGCAGGCUCGCGCUUGAAUACAUUAGCAUGGAAUAAUGAAAUAGGACGUUUGACCCUAUUUUGUUGGUCUCUAGGAUCGACGUAAUGAUUAAUAGGGAUAGUUGGGGGCAUUAGUAUUCAAUUGUCAGAGGUGAAAUUCUUGGAUUUAUUGAAGACUAACUACUGCGAAAGCAUUUGCCAAGGAUGUUUUCAUUAAUCAAGAACGAAAGUUAGGGGAUCGAAGACGAUCAGAUACCGUCGUAGUCUUAACCAUAAACUAUGCCGACUAGGGAUCGGGUGAUGGUUAUUUAAUGACUCAUUCGGCGCCUUACGG
rnacentral:rRNA from 1 species